rnacentral:lncRNA from 1 species
UUUAAAUUACCCGUCACCAUCUGAAUUUAUUUCCCCACUGCUCAUUACUUUCCAUAAUUAGAUCAUUUCCAACUCAGUUUUCUAUUCACAUUAACUACAAUUACAUUUUUUUAAAUUACCCGUCCCAUUAAUUUAUUUUCCCCAGGCUCUUCCUGUAAAGAAUUAGAUCAUGCCAACUCAGUUUUGUAUUCACAUUAACUACAAUUACAUUUAUUUUCUAUCUCCCAAAUUCUACAAUUAUCUCAUUUUUUUUAAAAAUAUCAAUUUUCUUUCAAAAUUUAUAUUGUAAAAUUUCGAACUUUUCUUAAUAAUACUAGCCUGUUUUUAACCGUAUUCGUCGAUAUCUUCUUGAUAACACUAAUUUCUAAUUUUAUAUAGGGAGACAUGCAAGCGAGAUAAAAUUGGGUGUCCAAAUUUGGAGGUUUAUUCUCGAUUUUGGAGAUUAUAAAACGGUUU